rnacentral:tRNA from 1 species
GUCCCUGUAGCAUAAUGGGUAGGGCGUUGGACAUCUAAUUCAAAGGUAGUGGGUUCGAAUGCCACCUGGGAUG